GCAGGUACAUAAACUGAUAAACCCUCCCUCGCACGACGAAAACCCCCCAACGAAAUAAAAAAGAUUCUCUCUUCUUUUACCCUCUCCGCCCGCUUCUCUCUCUUUGAUCUCUUUUCUUGCCCGGCUUCUGAUCUCUGCUCGCCUGCCGCCUGCAACCGCCGAGGGAGGAGGGGAGGCAAGAAGGAUCACGCCGCCGGAGCGUCAUCUCUUCCAACCCAAGGGACGGACAGCUAAAGUAGCUGUGGUUGUGGGAUAUGGAAGCCGAAGUAAGCGCUCCAGCCGAUCUUAAGGCGCCUGAUAAGACGACGGUACACGGUGAUGACAAAGAAAAUAUACCGAAUGGUAAUGCAAAUUUGCAAGUGAAGGAAGCCGACAAUGAUGAAGACGAUGGAACAAGAUCUGAUGGGUUUGAGCUGAUAGAUGUGAAGCAAAACUUCGAUUCAGCAAGAGUGGAGGAAGAGAUGGCCGCUCCAAGAAGUACUACAGUCGAUACAUCUCCUGUUACAGAAGAAAGUGAAACACAAGAAGACAAAACAACAGCACAUGAAGAACAAUCAGUUGCAACAAACACAAGACAUCUAGAGUCCUCAAUGUUGAACCAACAAACAGAACAAUUGGAAAAGCUGACAAUGCGUAUUGAGGAGCUUGAAUCUGAAAAUGACAAACUGGUAAAGGACUUGACAGAAGCAGAAAAUAAGCAGAGCCUGCACUACAGUUGUCUACAAGAAGCUCAAUGCUCUCUUGCAAUGAAAGAUAAGGAGCUGGCUGAAGUAACAGAGUCGCUGAAAGAUCUGGGUUCUGAGCUUGGAACCUCAAAAAAGAGGAUUCAAGAAAUUGAAGCUGAAUUGGAUUCAUCAGCAGAUAAGCUUUGUAAACUUGAAGAGUUGAAGGAUGAAAGAAGCUUGCAUGCUGCACAGGAGGCGAAGAGGGCCUCAGAACUUGAUAAGAUGCUAGAACUGGCACAAUCAAACAUGAAAGAAAUGGAAAAACAUAUUGGCAGUCUUCAAGAAGAAGUGAAGGGUUAUCAAGACAAGGCCGCUGACCAUCAGCAAAUAGAAGAAUCACUGAGAAACACAAUCUCAGAACUCAAGGUGGUACAAGAGGCAUUGGAGCUGUCAAAGUCACAAGUGGAAAAUUUGAAACAGAAGCUUGCCUCACAGGACACUGAUUUCAGUAAACUAACUGAAGAGUUGAAUCUCCAUUGUUCAUCUGAAGAAUCCCUUAAAGAGAAGUCUCUUAAACUAGAGACUGAACUUACUACUGUACUUGAAGAACUACAAGCAAAGGUUUUGAGUUUGCGAGAAGCCGAGAAAUGGAAACAAAACUUGAUGAGCAGUUGAAAGAUAGACAAACAAGUGAGGCUACACGAGAGAAGCAAAAUGAACAGCUACUCAUCUUGCAGGGUGGGCUUGACAAAUUGAAGGAUGAAAAUAAAACUCUCCAAGGGUCACUUGUUGAUCUUAACUCAAAACUUUCUGAGAAAGAUUCAAUACUGCAUCAGGCUGAAGAUGAGCUUUCAAAAGCACAGUUGGUCCUCUUAGAAGCAUUGUCACAAAAAGAAGAGUUGGAGCUGAAUCUGAACUCUCUCAGUGAGCAGCAUGGCAAAUCCAAAGCUUUUGGAGAAAAUGCAAACCAGAAGAUUCUCGAUCUUGAAGCACAAAUACAGGCAAUGCAUGCAGCUGAACAGGCACUCAAGUUUGAGCUAAAAGAAGCCGAGGCAAGUGUCCAAGCUGCUGAGAAGAAAGGCUCAGACCUUGAGCAACAACUCAGUGAGAUUGAGAAUAAAUUUGUUAAAUCAAGUGAAGAAAUAGAGUUGCUGAAAGAGCGUAUUCAACAAGAAGCUGCUGUAUCAGCAGAAAGAGGAAUGCAGCUUCAAGAAACUGUGACCAGUGUAGAGGGAUACAAAGAAAAAAUUAUUGAGCUACAAUCCUCCCUAGGUUCCUCAGUGUCUAAAAAUCAGCUACUUGAACAAGAAGUCAUGGAGCUGACUGAUAAAUGUUCAGAGCAUCAAGAACAAGCGCAUUCAGUUCGGCAAAGAAGUCUGGAGCUGGAAGAUUUGCUUCACACAUCAAAGACUCAUGCUGAAGGUGUAUACUCACGGACACAGGAGCUGGAGCAGGAGCUGAAUAACACAUAUGAAAUGUUCAAGGGGGUUGAAGAAGAACUCGAGCAGUACAGAAGCAAGGCUUCACAGCUCUCUGAUGAUCUGGAAGCUUAUCAGACAAAAGCAGCUAGUCUUGAAGCCGUGGUGGAAGCAGCAAGCGAGAAAGAAAAGGAAUUUAUGGAGUCAUUGAGCCAAAUAACUGAAGAAAAGAAGAAAAGUGAAGAGCUAGCUGCAAAAUAUGACUGAGGUGCACAGUAGAGGUAUAGAACUCCAAUCCGCAGCUGAAUCAAGGAAUGCGGAAAUUGAAGCUCAAUUGCAGGAAGCUCUUGAGGCAGUAGGACAGAAAGAGGCUGAGUCGAGAAACUUGAAUGAAAAGCUGGUUGCACUUGAGUCCGAAAUUGAAAGUUCGAUGCAUGUAAAUGAAGCGUUGAAACAGGAAAUCAAUGCUAAGCUGGUAAUGGUGGAUGAGCUGCAGGAGAAGUGUAGUUUUAUAAGUUCUGAGAAAGAAGAAGUUGCAGAGAAGCUGUCUAUUCAUGAGGAGAAGUUAGAACAUUUGACAGAAGAACACUCAAGAGGCUUGGAGCUCCUUUCUGUAGCUGAAUCUCGGAAUAAAGAAACUGAGAGUCAACUGCGUGAAGUUCUUGAAAAGCUAGCACAAAAAGAAGCUGAAGUUACAGACUUGACAGAGAAGCUGGCUUUGCUCGAAGCUGAGAAUGAAAAGAUGACUUGUUUGAACGAGGCGUUAAAAGAAGUGGAUGCUAAGCUGGUCAUGUUUGAUGAGCUACAGGAACGGUUUAGUUCUACUCUUGCUGAGAAGGAAGAAGCUGCAGAGAAGCUAGCUGUUCAUGAGAGGACAAUCUCACAACUGACAGAGGUACACACAAGAACCUUGGAGCUCCAUUCUGUAGCUGAAUCAAAGAAUGAAGAAAUUGGAGCUCAGUUCCUUGAGGCUCUUGAAACAAUAUCACAGAAAGAAGGUGAAGUUAAAGAAUCGUGUAAGAAGCUAGAUGCCCUUUAAAUUGAGUUGGGAUAUUAUAAAGAGCAAGCAACUGAAGCUGCUGCCGCUGAAGAGAAUCGUAAGGUUAAAUUUGAUGAAGCUUCACAGAAGAUAAAGAUAUUGGAGGAACAACUUGCAGAGACACAUAGCAAGGUCGAGCAUUUCCUUACAGAGAAGGAAAGCUUGGUUCAAGAAACUAGUAGUCUGAAUAAGGAGUUUGAGGUACAUCAGAACAAGUUGAACGACUUACAACUUGCACUUGCUGCUGCACUAGCAGAAAAGGAGGCGGCAUUUGAAGAGAUUCAUUCACUGUGUAAAACACUCGAUGGAAUGAUCGAGCACAAAGCAGAACUAGAAAUACAGGUAUCUUCUACUAUACAAGAGCACGAAGAACUGAAGAGCAAGUACCAAAAUACAAUGGAAGAGAAGCAGAUGUUGAGUGAUAAAUAUGAAACAGCAAAGAAAGAGCUUGAGGAUGCAAUAGCCAAGUUGGAGGAGGAAAUGAAUGUAGACAAGUCAGAAAAAGAGUCUCACAUCUCAAAGCUGGAGCGACAGAUUACAUUAUCAGAGAUAAAAUACAUGGAGGAGAUAAAGACUAUGCAAGUGGAAACAACUGAAAAGAAUGAAGCACUAACAGCCAAGAUGCAGGAACACACAGACUUACAACAUGAGAAACACGAAUUGGAACAACAGUUGCUGGAAGUUAGGAAGGAACUGGAUGGUGCUUACCAUACCAUAGUAAAUCAGGAAGAACAAGCUUCUUUGAGAGAGAUAAAGUGGGACACUUUUAGGAUUUAUUCAGAGGAUCGUCUGGAAGCUGAGCAGCAGCGUGCUGAGGAGCUGGAACUACAAGUAGCAGCUCUUAAACAACAGCUCCAAGAAGCUGAGGUCCAUUAUAAGCAAAAGGAAGAACAAGUUUCUUUAAGGGAGGUUCAAUGGGAAGGGGAUCAAAAUCAUUCACUGAAUGAGCUGAAAUCUCAGCGUCAGUAUGCCACGGACUUGGAGAAACAAAUCGAAGAUCUUACUCAGAAGUUAAGAUCAGCCGAUGCACACUACAAACAGAAGGCCACAGAAGAGAGAGAUAAACUUGCCGAGAUCACCACAGAGUUCAGCAAGUUGACACAUAAAGUAAGCAAGAGUGUCGAAUUGGAGAAGAAGGUGCAGGACCUUGAGCAGAAGCUGCAGCUAGCUUAUUCCAAGUCUGACGAACAGGCAACGGAUGUCUUGGAGUCGAGAUCCCGUGAGUUUAGCCUGGACUCGUUAUCAAGUUUGGUCAAACAGCAGGACAGAACUCAGGCUGCCGACAAGGCCUCGCCGAGCCCGACCCUGCAAGAAGUACAAGAACCUUCUGGCACCAUGGCUUUCAAGUUCAUCCUGGGAGUCGCCCUGCUGUCCGUACUCGCCGGCGUGUUUCUCGGGAAGCGGUACUAGCGCUCAGUCUGUGGAACUCUGUUGGCGCCCAUCAUCAGCUCAUGGAAAACCCCCGCUGUUAAUAUUGCUCCCAGCGAAAUUCGGUUAUCAGUUUGUAGCUGGAAGGGGGGCGUAGCCAGCAGAAGUUUGAGAGGAUUGUUGGCCUUGAUGGUGAUGGUUCGACGACUUUCUGGGAGGAAGUUGGAGACCUUGGAAGCCCUUUUGUUCUCUUGUUGUUGAUUUUCGUCUUCAUUUUCAGUUUUUGGGUAAAGUGGGGCAAGGAAUUUGAUUUUUGUUCAUUCCUACCCUUUGCGUGCAAAAGGCCAAGUGCACGCAACUGGUUCUGCGGACAGCUAGUUUUCCGUGUACAUUUCUUCUCUGUAAAGACCAGGAGUCCAUGGACGCAAAACAUGAAGCCUCUGCUUGCUGUAUAUGCUCGUGUGGAGAGUGCAUGUUUCGUUACCUGUGCCUUUUGAUGUACACCUGAAUUGCUUGAACGAGAAAUGUCAUAUUAUUAUCAGAUGGUUUGAAGGA